GCAGGAGUGCCCGAGCGGCCAAAGGGGCAGGACUUAAGAUCCUGUGGCUUAGUGCCUUCGGCGGUUCGAAUCCGCCCUCCUGCA
rnacentral:tRNA from 1 species